rnacentral:rRNA from 1 species
UACAGAGGGUGCAAGCGUUGUUCGGAAUUAUUGGGCGUAAAGGGAGUGUAGGCGGCUUGUUAAGUCUUCUGUGAAAUCUACGGGCUUAGCCUGUAACGUGCAGAGGAAACUGGCGAGCUAGAGUGUCGGAGAGGAUAGGGGAAUACCCGGUGUAGAGGUGAAAUUCGUAGAGAUCGGGUGGAACACCAGUGGCGAAGGCGCCUGUCUGGCUGACAACUGACGCUGAGACUCGAAAGCAUGGGGAGCAAACAGG